rnacentral:lncRNA from 1 species
CUUGUUCAUCCUGCUACAUACGCGCCAAACUGGCAUUGACUUGACUUGACUUGACAGUCCCGCCAAACAUGGCCGACGCUUUUUGAUCUCCCUGCCGUUGCUUCGGGUGUUUAUUACGAGAAAAUUAAUAAAAUCGACAAAAAGCACUUGAGAAACGCGUCUACAUGCAAAGCUUUCACGGAGCUUUCUCACUUCUCUGACGCGAAAGUCAAAGCUUCAAUGUCAUUGGAAAAUUCUAUACCAACUGUUUUACCGAUCAUUUA